rnacentral:rRNA from 1 species
GAUGAACGCUAGCGGGAGGCUUAACACAUGCAAGUCGAGGGGCAGCAUAGGGUAGCAAUACUCUGAUGGCGACCGGCAAACGGGUGAGUAACGCGUAUGCAACCUACCCUGUACAGGGGGAUAACCCGGAGAAAUUCGGACUAAUAUCCCGUAAUAAUAUCCGGAGGCAUCUUUGGAUAUUUAAAGUUCCGACGGUACGGGAUGGGCAUGCGUAACAUUAACUGGUUGGUAAGGUAACGGCUUACCAAGGCUAUGAUGUUUAGGGGUCCUGAGAGGGUGGUCCCCCACACUGGUACUGAGACACGGACCAGACUCCUACGGGAGGCAGCAGUGAGGAAUAUUGGUCAAUGGGCGCAAGCCUGAACCAGCCAUCCCGCGUGCAGGAAGACGGCCCUAUGGGUUGUAAACUGCUUUUCCAGGGAGAGAAACUUACGCACGUGUUGCGUGACUGACGGUACCCUGGGAAUAAGCAUCGGCUAACUCCGUGCCAGCAGCCGCGGUAAUCA